rnacentral:rRNA from 1 species
UAUGGUCAAGUGAAGAAGCGCAUACGGUGGAUGCCUUGGCAGUCAGAGGCGAUGAAAGACGUGGUAGCCUGCGAAAAGCUUCGGGGAGUCGGCAAACAGACUUUGAUCCGGAGAUGUCUGAAUGGGGGAACCCAGCCAUCAUAAGAUGGUUAUCUUGUACUGAAUACAUAGGUGCAAGAGGCGAACCAGGGGAACUGAAACAUCUAAGUACCCUGAGGAAAAGAAAUCAACCGAGAUUCCCUUAGUAGUGGCGAGCGAACGGGGACUAGCCCUUAAGUGGCUUUGAGAUUAGCGGAACGCUCUGGAAAGUGCGGCCAUAGUGGGUGAUAGCCCUGUACGCGAAAAUCUCUUAGUCAUGAAAUCGAGUAGGACGGAGCACGAGAAACUUUGUCUGAAUAUGGGGGGACCAUCCUCCAAGGCUAAAUACUACUGACUGACCGAUAGUGAACUAGUACCGUGAGGGAAAGGCGAAAAGAACCCCGGAGAGGGGAGUGAAAUAGAUCCUGAAACCGUAUGCGUACAAGCAGUGGGAGCCCACUUUGUUGGGUGACUGCGUACCUUUUGUAUAAUGGGUCAGCGACUUAUUUUCAGUGGCGAGCUUAACCGAAUAGGGGAGGCGUAGCGAAAGCGAGUCUUAAUAGGGCGUCUAGUCGCUGGGAAUAGACCCGAAACCGGGCGAUCUAUCCAUGGGCAGGUUGAAGGUUGGGUAACACUAACUGGAGGACCGAACCGACUACCGUUGAAAAGUUAGCGGAUGACCUGUGGAUCGGAGUGAAAGGCUAAUCAAGCUCGGAGAUAGCUGGUUCUCCUCGAAAGCUAUUUAGGUAGCGCCUCAUGUAUCACUGUAGGGGGUAGAGCACUGUUUCGGCUAGGGGGUCAUCCCGACUUACCAAACCGAUGCAAACUCCGAAUACCUACAAGUGCCGAGCAUGGGAGACACACGGCGGGUGCUAACGUCCGUCGUGAAAAGGGAAACAACCCAGACCGUCAGCUAAGGUCCCAAAGUUAUGGUUAAGUGGGAAACGAUGUGGGAAGGCUUAGACAGCUAGGAGGUUGGCUUAGAAGCAGCCACCCUUUAAAGAAAGCGUAAUAGCUCACUAGUCGAGUCGGCCUGCGCGGAAGAUGUAACGGGGCUCAAACCAUACACCGAAGCUACGGGUAUCACGUAAGUGAUGCGGUAGAGGAGCGUUCUGUAAGCCUGUGAAGGUGAGUUGAGAAGCUUGCUGGAGGUAUCAGAAGUGCGAAUGCUGACAUGAGUAACGACAAUGGGUGUGAAAAACACCCACGCCGAAAGACCAAGGUUCCUGCGCAACGUUAAUCGACGCAGGGUUAGUCGGUCCCUAAGGCGAGGCUGAAAAGCGUAGUCGAUGGAAAACAGGUUAAUAUUCCUGUACUUCUGGUUAUUGCGAUGGAGGGACGGAGAAGGCUAGGCCAGCUUGGCGUUGGUUGUCCAAGUUUAAGGUGGUAGGCUGGAAUCUUAGGUAAAUCCGGGAUUCUAAGGCCGAGAGCUGAUGACGAGUUACCCUUUGGGUGACGAAGUGGUUGAUGCCAUGCUUCCAAGAAAAGCUUCUAAGCUUCAGGUAACCAGGAACCGUACCCCAAACCGACACAGGUGGUUGGGUAGAGAAUACCAAGGCGCUUGAGAGAACUCGGGUGAAGGAACUAGGCAAAUGGCACCGUAACUUCGGGAGAAGGUGCGCCGGUGAGGGUGAAGCACUUGCUGCGUAAGCCCACGCCGGUCGAAGAUACCAGGCCGCUGCGACUGUUUAUUAAAAACACAGCACUCUGCAACACGAAAGUGGACGUAUAGGGUGUGACGCCUGCCCGGUGCCGGAAGGUUAAUUGAUGGGGUUAGCUAACGCGAAGCUCUUGAUCGAAGCCCGGUAAACGGCGGCCGUAACUAUAACGGUCCUAAGGUAGCGAAAUUCCUUGUCGGGUAAGUUCCGACCUGCACGAAUGGCGUAACGAUGGCGGCGCUGUCUCCACCCGAGACUCAGUGAAAUUGAAAUCGCUGUGAAGAUGCAGUGUAUCCGCGGCUAGACGGAAAGACCCCGUGAACCUUACUAUAGCUUUGCACUGGACUUUGAAUUUGCUUGUGUAGGAUAGGUGGGAGGCUUUGAAGCGUGGACGCCAGUUCGCGUGGAGC